rnacentral:RNase_P_RNA from 1 species
UAGCGGUGUCGGAUAGUUGCCCGCCAUUGAGGCGGGAGGAAAGUCCGAACAUUCAAUUGUCUGUGCAUGCAUAUGCGUGCAGAUGAUAAGGGUAGCGGGUAACGCCCGUCGGGAGCAAUCCUAGAGAUGAGAACAGAAAUGACCCGGUUAAGUCCGGCUGAAACAGCAAAAUUCUUACCUGAAUGCAAGGCCGUGUCCAGCCCCAGUUUCUCAAAAAUUGGAGGCGGAAGUGCCGCUAGAGGCUUCGAGUGAUCGACGUCCCAGAUAAAUAACUAUCUCCGCCGAAGAGGCGGAACAGAAUUCGGCUUAUAGACACCCGAACUC